rnacentral:rRNA from 1 species
UGGGGAAUCUUGGACAAUGGGCGCAAGCCUGAUCCAGCCAUGCCGCGUGAGUGAAGAAGGCCCUAGGGUUGUAAAGCUCUUUCGGCGGGGACGAUAAUGACGGUACCCGCAGAAGAAGCCCCGGCUAACUCCGUGCCAGCAGCCGCGGUAAUACGGAGGGGGCUAGCGUUGUUCGGAAUUACUGGGCGUAAAGCGCACGUAGGCGGGUCGUUAAGUCGGGGGUGAAAUCCUGGGGCUCAACCUCAGAACUGCCUUCGAUACUGGCGACCUUGAGUACGGGAGAGGUGAGUGGAAUUCCCAGUGUAGAGGUGAAAUUCGUAGAUAUUGGGAAGAACACCAGUGGCGAAGGCGGCUCACUGGCCCGUAACUGACGCUGAGGUGCGAAAGCGUGGGGAGCAAACA